UGGGGUGUAGCUCUGGGAUAGAGCCCUUACCUAUCAUGCACAAGGCCCUAGGUUUGAUCCCUGGCACCACAG
rnacentral:tRNA from 1 species